CCUACGGGUGGCAGCAGUGAGGAAUAUUGGUCAAUGGGCUUACGCCUGAACCAGCCAAGUCGCGUGAGGGAAGACUGCCCUAUGGGUUGUAAACCUCUUUUGUCAGGGAGCAACGCCGGCUACGUGUAGCCGGACUGAGAGUACCUGAAGAAAAAGCAUCGGCUAACUCCGUGCCAGCAGCCGCGGUAAUACGGAGGAUGCGUGGGUUUUCCGGUUUUUUUGGGUUUAAAGGGUGCGUAGGCGGAAUGCCAAGUCAGCGGUAAAAUCGCGGGGCUAAACCUCGCUCCGCCGUUGAUACUGGCGGUCUUGAGUGGGCGAGAGGUAUGCGGAAUGCGUGGGGUAGCGGUGAAAUGCAUAGAUAUCACGCAGAACUCCGAUUGCGAAGGCAGCAUACCGGCGCCCAACUGACGCUGAAGCACGAAAGCGUGGGUAUCGAACAGGAUUAGAUACCCCUGUAGUC
rnacentral:rRNA from 1 species